UACGGAGGAGGCAAGCGUUAUCCGGAAUUAUUGGGCGUAAAGCGUCCGUAGGUGGUUUAGUAAGUCUGCUGUUAAAGCGCGGGGCUUAACUCCGUAUCGGCAGUGGAAACUACUAGACUAGAGUGUGGUAGGGGUAGAGGGAAUUCCCAGUGUAGCGGUGAAAUGCGUAGAUAUUGGGAAGAACACCGGUGGCGAAGGCGGCGCUCUGGGCUGGAACUGACGCUGAGGAGCGAAAGCGUGGGGAGCGAACAGG
rnacentral:rRNA from 1 species